AGGGGCAUAGUUCAAUUGGUAGAGCGCCGGUCUCCAAAACCGGUGGUUGGGAGUUCAAGUCUCUCUGCCCCUGCCA
rnacentral:tRNA from 1 species